ACUUCUAACCCCUGCGAGUCAAUCGUACAGUUUGAGCAGGCGCUGAAUAACGCCACUGAAAAAAUCGCACAGCGUAUGCCCAAGGCUCCGCCGAUGCUGAUGGAAAUGGACAAAACGUUAAGAAACGCAAAGCCAGAGGAACAGACUAACACACACUAAUGCUGUUUUUGACCUCUAUUUAUGCCCUCAGUAGGCGUGACCUUACGGCCGCACUUCAAAGCACGGCCGCACUUCAAAGCACUCAGCCUUUUGACGCGUCACCUAAUCUUCGUUCUAAUGGCGCAACUCCUCCCAGUCAUUCAUAAUCCGACCUCCGCGUUUGCACUCGCUGCCUACAAGAGCUCCCAAAUGUGAACAUCACUGAUGUUCAUCGGAUUUGCAGAGUGACGACAACCCCCGCCAGCAUGUUAGAUAAAGGAUUUAAGUUAUAUGCUGCAUCACACAACUACGAAGUGUCCAAAAAACACAGGUUGACAGGGGAGGUCGGUGUGAGAGCCCUGUGCUACAGGUCAAUGAGGAAGAGUGAGGCACCACCACACAGACUAAGUAUUAAGCUUCUGGAUUCAUCGCCGGUGGUACUGACACAUAGCCAGUGCUCCUGUGUGGCAGGUGCUGUUAUGUGCAAUCACACAGUGGCACUGCUCUUCCAAACAGCACACUACUCACAACUCAGAGUGCCGGUUAUCCCCCUGUGCAUAGCUGCACCGAAUCUGAACAGCAAUGGCACAAGCCACGGACAGUGGGUGUGAAGCCAGGACCUAUCAACUCUAUGAUCUUCACUAAGCCGGUACCAAAUAGGAUGGCCCAGACUGGAGCACGGAGUGGAUUCUACAGAGGCACUGUGGGUCCAUUACCAGAUCCCUGACCUGACAAGCCCCUUGUGGAAAGUGCCUUUGGGCUGGUGAAGGAGGGCAGUGUUCUGCCAUGUCAGCAGCCGGUUUUGACAACCCGGUACAUCACACUACACCGUGAUGCACCACCAACACCGCACUUGCCUCUGGAGGGGUAUGACAUCAAGGAAACCCUGCUCGCUCAGACAGCCUGUGAUAUUUUCUCAAACCGCUGCGCUGAACAAGUUUCCAAAGAACAUGCUGUGUGACACAAUAAAUAUCCUUUAACCUGUUAACCUGUGGCUUCUGGAAGAAACUCGGGUGAGUCAGUCACUGCAAACACAUUUGUAUCAUCAAGUGUUUGUCAAAUGAAAAUGAUACGUUUUUCUACACUUAGGAUAAUUUUCUAUGUUGCAGUGCAGUAAAGUGCACGUUUCUUCUGUGUUCAAUCAUACAUGUUCUAAUUGUUAUAAACAGAAAAAAUCUUUUCUUACUUAACUGCUUGAUUCUUAACUUGUUUAACUGAAACAUGAUGAAAUGUCAUAGUAUUAUUUUUUUAAAUGUCCUUGGCAGUGCAUGUGUCCGCAUUGUAACUUACUAAUAAAAAGUCCUGUGUGUA